UAAAAUAUAGGGUUAAUGCAUCAGAUUCAAUUAGAACUCUGUAGUUAAGCGUGUUUGGGCUAGAGUAGUACUGAGAUUAAUUUACAUGCUAGAGUAGUGACCACCCAGGAAGUCCUAGUGUUUUAC
rnacentral:rRNA from 1 species